UGUAUGUGUGUGUUCCAGCGUGUUCUGUGUCUGCCAGCUCUGAGCCGUCUUCGGGCCUCUCAUUUACUUCUGGCUGGUGCUGAGCACAGGAUACUGGCCCAGAUGGAGCCUUCAUCUGAAUCUGGGGGUUACUACUAUCAGGCCCUCCUUGCCUGGAAUGUCAAAUGAUGACCUGUGAAGGAUGCAGACCGAUUGCAUAAUGGCUUCUUACCAAGCAGAACAUAAAAAGAUUGAUUUGAGACUGUUUAUACAGCCUUUGGAUCUGGAAAAAAAGCUCAGCUUGCUGUUUUCUUAUUUAGUCUUACAUAUACUCCAGAUAAAUGACUUGUCCAAUAUAUUACGACACAAUGUGGUGUUUAAGAUUCAUUACCGAAAGUGCUGAGCCAGCCAACUUCUCAUGAAUACAAAAAGCAACAUAUAAUUCAUCUGUUUGUCCAUCUUUAGAAUUAUAACUCUCCUCCCAGCUUAUGUUUUCUGCUGCUGGCCAAUAAAGUGGAGGAAAAUUAAUAAAGAAAGUAAAAUAGA